UAGCGGCAGGCUUCUACAUGCAAGUCGAGGGGCAGCAUAAAUUACUUGUAAUUUGAUGGCGACCGGCGAACGGGUGCGUAACGCGUAUGCAACUUACCUUUUACUAGAGAAUAGCCAAGAGAAAUUUUGAUUAAUGCUCUAUGUUCUUGUUUACUCGCAUGGGUAAAUAAGCAAAGCUCCGGCGGUAAAAGAUAGGCAUGCGUCCUAUUAGCUUGUAGGUGAGGUAAUGGCUCACCUAAGCUCCGAUAGGUAGGGGUCCUGAGAGGGAGAUCCCCCACACUGGUACUGAGACACGGACCAGACUUCUACGGAAGGCAGCAGUAAGGAAUAUUGGACAAUGGAGGCAACUCUGAUCCAGCCAUGCCGCGUGAAGGAAGACGGCCUUAUGGGUUGUAAACUUCUUUUAUACAGGAAGAAACCUUUCCACGUGUGGAAAGCUGACGGUACUGUAAGAAUAAGGAUCGGCUAACUCCGUGCCAGCAGCCGCGGUAAUACGGAGGAUCCAAGCGUUAUCCGGAAUUAUUGGGUUUAAAGGGUCCGCAGGCUGUUUGUUAAGUCAGAGGUGAAAUCCUACCGCUCAACGGUAGAACUGCCUUUGAUACUGGCAAACUUGAGUUAUUGUGAAGUAGUUAGAAUGUGUAGUGUAGCGGUGAAAUGCAUAGAUAUUACACAGAAUACCGAUUGCGAAAGCAGAUUACUAACAAUAUACUGACGCUGAGGGACGAAAGCGUGGGUAGCGAACAGGAUUAGAUACCCUGGUAGUCCACGCCGUAAACGAUGGUCACUAGCUGUUCGAUGUACAUUGUACGUUGAGUGCUAAGCGAAAGUGAUAAGUGACCCACCUGGGGAGUACGCUCGC
rnacentral:rRNA from 1 species